GCCCGCCUAGCUCAAUCGGAUAGAGCGUCAGACUCUUACCUCUCCGGUUGUUUGUAUUGUCGGGUAUCUGAAGGCUGCGAGUUCGACCCUCGCGGUGGGCU
rfam:Lentinula edodes NBRC 111202 DNA, contig: scaffold5.